GUUGUUGUAGCAUAGUGGUUAGUAUUAUCGCCUGUCACGCGGGUGACCCUUGUUCGAUCCCAGGCAACGACG
rfam:Picea glauca, whole genome shotgun sequence.